rnacentral:rRNA from 1 species
GGAUCCAGACUUUGAUCCUGGCUCAGGAUGAACGCUAGCUACAGGCCUAACACAUGCAAGUCGAGGGGAAACGGCAGCUUAGCUUGCUAAGCUGGACGUCGACCGGCGCACGGGUGAGUAACGCGUAUCCAACCUGCCCCACGGUGAGGGAUAACCCGCGGAAACGCGGCCUAAUACCUCAUGGUCUCCGAGUUUGCCAUCAACCUUGGAGUAAAGAUUCAUUGCCGUGGGAUGGGGAUGCGUCUGAUUAGCUUGUUGGCGGGGCAACGGCCCACCAAGGCAACGAUCAGUAGGGGUUCUGAGAGGAAAGCCCCCCACAUUGGAACUGAGACACGGUCCAAACUCCUACGGGAGGCAGCAGUGAGGAAUAUUGGUCAAUGGGCGAGAGCCUGAACCAGCCAAGUAGCGUGCAGGAUGACGGCCCUAUGGGUUGUAAACUGCUUUUAUGCGGGGAUAAAGCGGGCGACGUGUCGCCCUUUGCAGGUACCGCAUGAAUAAGGACCGGCUAAUUCCGUGCCAGCAGCCGCGGUAAUACGGAAGGUCCGGGCGUUAUCCGGAUUUAUUGGGUUUAAAGGGAGCGCAGGCCGGGUAUUAAGCGUGUUGUGAAAUGUAGGCGCCCAACGUCUGCACCGCAGCGCGAACUGGUGCCCUUGAGUACGCACAACGUUGGCGGAAUUCGCCGUGUAGCGGUGAAAUGCUUAGAUAUGGCGAAGAACUCCGAUUGCGAAGGCAGCUGACGGGAGCGCUACUGACGCUCAUGCUCGAAAGCGCGGGUAUCGAACAGGAUUAGAUACCCUGGUAGUCCGCGCGGUAAACGAUGGAUGCCCGCUAUUUGCGCAUUAGCGCAAGUGGCCAAGUGAAAACGUUAAGCAUCCCACCUGGGGAGUACGCCGGCAACGGUGCAACUCAAAUGAAUUGACGG